rnacentral:rRNA from 1 species
UGAGGAAUAUUGGUCAAUGGACGAGAGUCUGAACCAGCCAAGUCGCGUGAAGGAAGAAGGUUCUAUGGAUUGUAAACUUCUUUUGUUGGGGGAUAAAACGGGGCAUGUAUGCCCCCUUGCAGGUACCCAACGAAUAAGCAUCGGCUAACUCCGUGCCAGCAGCCGCGGUAAUACGGAGGAUGCGAGCGUUAUCCGGAUUUAUUGGGUUUAAAGGGUGCGUAGGCGGAUUCAUAAGUCAGUGGUGAAAGUUUGAGGCUCAACCUUAAAAUUGCCAUUGAAACUGUGGAUCUUGAGUGUAAAUGAGGUAGGCGGAAUGCGUGGUGUAGCGGUGAAAUGCAUAGACAUCACGCAGAACUCCAAUUGCGAAGGCAGCUUGCUGGAAUACAACUGACGCUGAGGCACGAAAGCGUGGGGAUCAAACA